AGAAUAGGGGCGGAAACUUCUGUUCCGCCAUGCUGCAGGCUCGGUGACUCCCUGAGUGUGGGCUACUCUCCUGAUCCGUGUGCUGGGCUGUGACCCGCUGCCGGGAGCUUUGAGGAGAGCGGGCGAGCUCGGAAUCCGCCAUGGCUACAAAUGGGAAGACCGCAACAUUGAAGAACAUUGUCAAAGUUCUAGAAGACGUGAAAGGUGUAUCAUCUGUCACUCUGGAUACAAACCAUGUGAUCCUGAGCAGCAUGAAAAGAAGCAAUGUACUGCUGUGUCUUCCAGAACAGUUAGAAAAUAUGUAGUAGUCCUCACUAUGCAUAGACUUGCUCCUCCAGCUCUGUGCAAUCAAGGACAGUGACUUAGUGCAAGGAGUCUGUAGAAAUCACCAGAAAGAUAGCAAACCUCCAACUGUAGAGCUGUAUCGUCAGAAUUCAUGUCUGCCCACCUGGGUCCAUUUUUAAAGCCCUGUAACAUCAAGGGAGAAGUUAUUCUAUGGAACACACAGAGCCCCAUGUCACCCCAGAAAGUCUUUCUGGUGAUGCUAUCUUCUCUGACCUGUGCAUCUGUGGAUGCUCAUGCAUGAAAUGACAAUUACACUUAUUUACAACAUCUCAAAUCAAUUACAUUUAUUUACAACAUCUCAAAUCAAAACGACCCUGGAUAUCCUGCAUUUAAAAAAUACAAAGGGGGAGAUGACACCACUGGAAUGGAGUACUUACUGUGAACAGAUUUCUGAGUGUUUGGGGGAGGACACAUGCCACAGAGCAUAGGUGGCAGUUCGAGAACAACUCGAGAAUUGGUUCUCAUCAUGUUAGAAGCAAACGCAGGUCAGUAAUACUGGCAGCAAGCCACUGUCUCAGCUGAUUCCACUCCCUGACUCUGAUUAUACAUUUUGAGAAACAGAUACAGGUGAUUGUUGAUUUCAGACAGACUGUGGAAAUUGAAAGAUGAGUAAGUGACCAUGGCUUGACCCUGAUUUGUCUCCUGAAGAAAUGGCUCAUCUGACUUUGGGUCAGACUCCCUGAAUAAUUGCCAUACCAUCACAUUCCAAAAAUCAACUGUACCUUUCCUACCUGGAGUCUGCAACAACACCUCCCAACAUCAAGAAAUGACUCCACAUCGAGCAGCUCUAUUCAACAUAACUUUAUAAAAUUUGGCUAUUCAAAAAGGGGGAAAUGAAGGAGAUUUGCUGAACUGACACCAGGCCAGGACAAUGCACUGGCCAGAAGUUCCUUGAAAACAAGAGGAUGUAUUUAGAGUUAUGGCAGAAUACUGCCUUUACACUCCAACAAAUAUUCUCUUGGCCAGAAUUCAGGUUCUUCACAAUUAUCUCUGGGAGAAAGUGCAAUCAGUAACAUACAAAAUUCUGUGCUUUGUCCAGCAAGAAAGAAGUGAACAAUAGAGAUUAGUGAGGGUGUCACUGCAGGUGUCAGGAAAGCCAACUACAGGAAGAGAUGAGAGUGAAAACCUGGCUCAGAUUGACUUUGUCAACCUGGAUCAGAUUCUGGGGAGUCUAAUACCAGGCAUCUUAUUGUAGGCAUAUUUAAACACAGUAGAAUUUGGGAACGGGUCUCUAUACUAACAACAGUUCCCAUAGUCUUUCCACUUCCAGUUGCACAACAGAGCUUAAGGUGUGACUGCAGAGAAACAUGACUACAAAGUCCAUGUGACCAUGAGGGUGGGUUCUAUAUCUAAAAGUCCUAGAAUCUAAUGUGGUCUCUGAGAUAGCAUAGAGAUCAGCAGGCCAUAAAGUACAUGUGACAACUCCUCUAAAAUGGGUAAUGGUCUAGGGUCAGAACAAUCUGGAAAAGAUACAAGCAUAACCUCACCCUGAUGUUAGUAGGACAUCAUUCCCUUUCCUUUGUUUUGUCUUUAGGUCUUAACAUAUUCUUUUUUUUUAAAGAUUUAUUUAUUUAUUAUGUAUACAGUGUUCUGUCUGCAUGUAUCCCUGCAGGCCAGAAGAGGGCACCAGAUCUCAUCACAGAUGGUUGUGAGCCACCAUGUGCUUGCUGGGAAUUGAACUCAGGACCUUUGGAAGAGCAAGGAGUGCUCUUAACCUCUGAGCCAUCUCUCUAGCCCCAUUUAACAUAUUCUUUAGACUCUGUCUCCUGUAGGGAGAAAUGCUUUUGUGCAGCAGUAGAAGCAUUAUCCUUUAAAAUGAAAACAUUUAAAGUUAAGAUAGGUAGAUGCAGCAUAGUAUGGGGGAAUUUUGGUGAGUAUAUACACACCCUUUUCAUUUUAAGUUUUUCUCAUUUAAGUAUUUGAUAUUACAGUUCCUCAGUAGUUUGAUUUUGUGGAUUGUAAGGGAUUUCAGUAACAUGAUUAAUAGUCUAUAAGCUGCAAAAUUGUCUAAAGUGUUCGCUGGUAUAAUCAGAGUCAUUAUCAGUUUUUAUUUGUUGUGGUAGGGACAAAAGGGGAAGUUGUAUAACAAAUGCCUAAUGGCAUCGGAGGUUGUUUCACCUCUGUAAACAGAAGCAAGGAUCAUAUUUGAAAAGCUAUCGACUUAUGUGAAUAUAUUUUAAACGACCAAAUUCUAAGAUAUGGGUAAUUUCUUUUUUUGCCAAAUGGUGUUGGAUUUAACCCCCAACGAUUAGUUAUGACAGCAGAGUAAAAGAACAAGUAGGAUGGGACACUCUGCUGUGGUUGGCGCAUGCCUUUAAUCCCAGCACUCGGGAGGCAGAGGCAGGCCGGUCUCUGUGAGUUUGAGGCCAGCCUGGGCUACAGAACGAGAUCCAGGACAGGCACCAAAACUACACAGAGAAACCCUGUCUCGAAAAACUAAAAAAAAAAAAAAAAAAAAGAAGGAUGGGGCCUGAUAAUUUGCUGAGCUUGCUCACGAGGCAAAGAGAAUUUUACCUGUAAAGAAUUUGCAUUUUGAUGAAGAUUCAUUAGAUUCUUGAGCAGCCUGGUGUGGGAUUUCUCUUCCUGAAAAAGAAAAAACUAGGAGCAAGGAGAAGACCAGUCCAUCGGCUUGGGCAUUGGUGGAUGUUUAUGCAUCUGGCAAAUUAGAAUGAGCAUGAUUAUGAGUUAUGAAAAAAUACUGAGUUCAUUUUUUUUAUAGAUGUCUGAAGGGACAGAAAUAGUUGUAGAUUAAAUCUUGCAAUUUCUGAUUGAGUGCAGUAUGCAGAGUCCAUUAAAGUAUUCAAUGGUCAGGGCUGUCUAAUAGCUGUGUGGUUACAGCAAAUUCAGACAGUUGAACUGUACAGCUAGGUGUGAGUAUAACCCUUUUUGAGGGGCAUGUGGAAUUUAUAUGUACAAUAUGUUUCUUGUCCUCUUGAAGAGUCAUCUGCAAAAGCAUUGAAAGGACUCUAUAGGAUUUUCAGAUGUAACUUUAGGCAAUACCCAUGGAUUAUCUUUAAAAAAAAUCUUAAAAAUGGAUCUGUUUGAUAAUGAUUAUCUAUGGAUCCCAAGUAUCAUGCUAAUGCAACCUGCCAAUUACCUCUGUGAAACAAAUAAUUAACCUCAAUUUAUUUAAUGGCACAAAUACUUUCUGUAGGCCCUUUACUAGUAAGUUGUUUAAGUCUAUAAUAUAAAUAAGGAGUUACAGAUCACUGUGGAGAACAGGAUAAAUGAAUUGCAUUUAUCUUCUUAAGUUUGUUUAUAUGACAGUUCACACAGUGGGCCCUAGAUACUCACUGAGGUCCCUGGAGAGGCUUCGGCAGUUGUAGGUGUUGGCAAAUUGAAAAGCCUAUUCCUGACAGUUAAAGAUUCAGCCUUAUAGUUCUGAUGUUCUAGAAGUACUUUUACUAUCAAAAUCUGCAUUAGUCUCUAUUCUCUAGAGUAACAAAAUUAUAGAAUAUAUAUACAUAUAUAAAUACACACAUAUAGAGAGAGAGACAGAGAAAAAAUGGUUUAUUUGAGUGACUAUAGGCAACAGUACAACUAACCCAACAGUCACUGGGUGUGAAUGGAAAGUCCAAUCAUCCAGAAUUUGCUCAGCCCAUCAGUGUCUGUCUCUGCUGCUCUUCAGUAAAUCUCUCAGUUCUGAAGAAGUAUGCUCUAAUGCCAGUGAAGGAACAAAAUUGCCACCAAAGUAAGGGAAAGCAGUCCUCAAGCAGAAACUUCUUCCUGUCCUUCCAGCAGGUGUGGCCCAGAAUAAAGGUGUGCCUUCUAGAUUUAGGAUGCAGAUUAAAGGCCUGCUUGUUGCUACCUACACUGUGAUCUACUCAGUGGAUACAAUGUAUUCCGAGUCCUGCUUUGCACAGUAAGUGUGCUUUUCCUUGAGCCAUGUUCCCAGCUCUUGAUCUUUUAUAGGUUAUUUACAUAACACCCAGCAUUUCCACUUUAUCCCAGGCUUUUCUUAUAUGUGUCACUUGUUACAUGAGGUCGAAGUGGGAAAAGCUUUCCAGUCUUUCUCUCCCAACUGGAUUUUAUGGUUUCUUUUGUUUGUUUUUGUUCUGAGACAGGGUCUAAUGUAACCCAGGAUGCCUUCAACUCUUCUAUGUAGCUCAGAGUGACCCCAAAUUACAGUCUCCCACUGCUGAGUGCUGGGAUGAGAGGCAUUAGCAAUCAUACUUGGUUUAUGCCAUGCGGAGAAUGGAACCCAGGCCUCUAAGCAUCCUAGUCAAGCAAUCUACCAACUGAGUCUCAGCCCCAGCCCCAGCCCCUGGCUUAUUAAUUUUUCUUUUUUCUUUUUUUAUUUAUUUAAUUUUUUUUUUCAUUUUACAUAUCAAGCCAAGUCCCCCUCUCUCAUCCCCUCAACACCCUCCAACCCCCAUGCACUCCUCAGAGGGGGUGAGACUUUCCAUGGGGAUAAAACUAACUGACAUACCAAGUUGAGGCAGGACCAACUCCCUCCCCCCUUCAUCAAGGCUGAGCAAGUUAUCAUAGGGAAUUAGCUCUGAAAAGCCAGUUCAUGCACCCUGGAUAAGUCCUGGUCCCAGUACCAGGGGCCCCACAAACAGAUCAAGCCACACAACUGUCACCCACAUUCAGAGGGCCUAGUUUGGUCCCCAUGCAGGUUCCCCAGCUGUCAGUUCAGAGUUUGUGAGCUCCCACUAGCUCGGGUCAGCUGUUUCUGUGAUUUUCCCUAUCAUUAUCUUGACCCCCCAUGCUCAUAUAAUCCCUCCUCCCUCUCUUCAGCUGAACUCCAGGAGCUCAGCCCAGUGCUUGGCUGUGGAUCACUGCAUCUGCUUUCCUCAGUUACUGGAUGUAGAUUUUAUGAUGACAAUUAGAGUGGUUACUAAUCUGAUUACAGGGAAGGCCAGUUCAGGCACCCUCUCCACUAUUGCUAGGAGUCUUAGCUGGGGUCAUCCUUGUGGAUUCCUGGGAAUUUCCCUAGCACCAGGUUUCUCCUUAACUCCAUAAUGGCUCCCUCCAUCAAGAUACUUCUUUCAUUGUCCUCCCUCUCCGUUCCUCCCCCAACUCAGCCAUCUGGAUCCCUCAUGUUCCCAUCUCCCAUCCCCUCCCUUCUACCACCCCCUCCCAGUUUACCCAGGUGAUCUUAACUGUUUCCCAUUCCUGGAGCCCUCCAUGCUUGUCCCUCUUAAGGUCCUCCUUUUUACAUAGCUUCUCCGGAGUUGUGGUUUGUAGCUGGUUAUCCUUUGCUUUGUGUCUAAUACCCACUUAAGAGUGAGGACAUAUCAAGUUUGUCUUUCUGGGUAUGGGUUACUUCACUGAGGAUGAUUUUUUCCUAGUUCCAUCCAUUUGCCUACAAAUUUCAUGAUGUCAUUGUUUUUUACAGCUGAGUAAUACUCCAUUGUGUAAAUGUACCACAUUUUCUUUAUCCAUUCUUCAGUUGAGUGGCAUCUAGAUUGUUGUUUCCAGGUUCUGGCUAUUACAAAUACUGCUGCUAUGAACAUAGUUGAGCAAGUGUUCUUGUAGUAUGAUUGAGCAUCCCUUGGGUAUGUGCCCAAUAGUGGUAUUGCUGGGUUUUGAGGUAGAUUGAUUCCCAGUUUUCUGAUAGUGAUUUCCAUAGUGAUUUCCAGAGUGGCUGUACAAGUUUGCACUCCCACUGGCAGUGGAGGAGUGUUCCUCUUACUCUGAAUCCUCUUCAACAUAAGCUGUCACAAGUGUUUUUGAUAUUAGCCAUUCUGACAGGUUUAUAAGAUGGUAUCUCAGUGUUAUUGUGAUUUGUGUUUUCCUGAUGGCUAAGUAUGUUGAUCAAUUUUUAAAUGUCUUUCUGCCAUUUGAGAUUCUUCUGUUGAGAAUUCUCUGUUUAGAUCUGUAGCCCAUUUUUUAAUUGGAUUAUUUGGUAUUUUGCUGUCUAGUUUCUUUGAGUUCUUUAUGAAUUUUGGAGAUCAGCCCUCUGUCAGAUGUGGGGUUGGUGAGGAUCUUUUCUCAUUCUGUAGGCUGAUGUUUUGCCCUACAAAAGCUUCUUAGUUUCAGGAGGUCCUAUUUAUUAAUUGCUCUCAGUGUCUGUGCUACUGGUGUUAUAUUUAGGAAGUGGUCUCCUGUGCCAAUGUGUUCAAGGCUAGUUCUCACUUUCUCUUCUAUUAGGUUCAGGUUCAGUAUAACUGGAUUUAUGUUGAGGUCUUUGAUCUAUUUGGACUUGAGUUUUGUGCCUGGUGAUAGAUGUGAAUCUGUUUGCAAUCUUCUACAUGUUGACAUCCAGUUAUCCUGUCUUCCUUCAUAUGUUAAUCUUGAUGCCUCUCUUAGCACAUCCCCCUGUUCCACACACAAUAUUAAUGUAUCACACUUGGCCAAAAAGGGGUUCAUGACAAAUUUGUCAUUGACAUUUUGAGUUCUUUUUAGGAAAUAAAUAAUUGAAAAUAUCUAGAAGUAGUCCUACCUCAGGCUAUUAGUCCAUUUUUAAAAAGAUGGAAACUGGCAUUUUGGCUCACACCUGUCAUUUCACUUAGAAUGCUGAGGCAGGAUGUUUCCAUGAAAUACAGCUCAGUCAGUAGUACAUUGUAAAUCUGGGCCAGUUUAGACUACAGUGUGAUAUCCUGUGUACAAAUAAAUGAACAAAUGGAUUUAAAAGGGUAGAAUGCAGCCUUUCUGAAUGAUGAGCUCAGAAUUUGUUUUAUCUUGGUACAUUGCGGUUGGUGUGUCAAGACCAUUAGUACUUACCUGGAGUAAGGGCAUUGUCAUGACUCAACACAGGGCUAAGAAUUUGAUGAUUUUACAUUCACGUAUGUAUGUAUUUAUUUAUUCUGGGUGGUGCAUGCAUUUUCACAUGUGCAGCCAGUUGGGAAGUGGGUCUGUAUACAACAGUGAACUUUUCGAGUUCAGAGCAGAAUGUGCAGGAUUAACCCAAGUCAUUAGGUUUGGAUACAAGUACCUUGAAGCAGUCUUGCUGGCACAGGAAUUCUACUCUCAAAUUUCUUCUUUUCUUGGCAUCUAUAAACAAAGUGUUAGUAAAAAUAAAGAUUCAUUAUAGUGUUUUUACCUUAUUGAAAUACAACUUACACAAGUGAAAUUCACAAUUUUAAACUGUUUCACCAUUUACAUCACUUUAUUUUGCCAUCACUGCUCUAAUUCUAAAAGUGUAGGAUUAGGUGAGACCCUAUGUUUAAAAACAAAAGUUUUCAGGUUGUGUUGGCACACCACUGUGACCCCACUAUAGGCAAUGGAACCUGGAAGAAAGGAGCGGAUGAAUGAUGUGGACUACAGUCUCAUUAAUAGCCACCUUUAGUCAUAGCCCCAGACAAUUUAAACUGAGGGAUAAGAAAGGUCACAUGAGUAAAGUUCUCACGAGUUCAAGCUGUAUAAAAUCACCAGUACAAUUCAGAUAUGAAAAACACGUUUUUCCAUAGAGGCAUAGACAUUUAAUUAAAUAACAGCAGCAAGCACAAAUAGAUGAGCAACCUGAAGUAAAAGCACUUCAACCCUUAGACAGAAGGCUGGGAAAGUGUUAGUGUUUUGGCUUCCAAUGUGCAGCUGAAAGAGGUGUGAGCAAUCCCAGGUGUGCCUCAUUGAAAUUGUCAAUGCGUAGCGAACAUCAAUCAGGUGAUUUAAAUUUAACCUGGAUGGUCUGGGGCCCCUUUCAGCUGUGAGGCAGGAGGAUCACUCGACUGCACAUUGUUUAAUGAUUCGUGUAUGCUUGAGACUCUGGUGUGUGUGUGUGUGUGUGUGUGUGCGCGCGUGCGUGCGCGCGCGCCCUGGAGGAAGAAAGGGAAGUUCCUAUUGUGUGCAGUUACAGUGCAGAGACAACUCUGCAGUCCAGGUGUAAAUUAAUUCUGCUGCAAUGCCCAUCUCUGUAGGUCUGGGACAGUUUUUUUUUUUCCUGGAGUGGAAGCCAGGGCUGGCAAGCAUUGUGUGCUGUGUCCCUUCACUGCAUUCUAUCCCUAAGAGAGCAGCUCCUGUCACUCAGUCCUCACUAACCAAUGACAGCCUCCAGAUGUACCCACCAGUUAUAAUAAGGGAGGGCACUUCCGGUCCAUCGUGAUAGCAGCUUGGAGUCCUGGGGCUGAGGGAGGAUCUCUUGGUUUUUGGGUGCUGGGCUGUGAUCCCGCUGCCUGAAGCUGUGAGAACUGUCUGAGCUUGGAAUCUAUGCCAUGGUUCGAACCCGACCACUACCCUAUGCUCCAAUGCAGCAGAUGGAGAGAAAUGUGGCAGCAGCAGCAGGCUCACAGGGGUUUGAUGAAGCCCUGAAGCUUUUCUCUGUGAUGAUAUGGAGCCUGAGCAAUGGAUGUCACCUGAUGUCAGUCUUCUAGAGCAGGCAGAUGCACUGAUCACACAGUAGUUCCAAAACAUUCCCUUUCAGGUUGGUUUAAAGAUCAUUUCUACUGGGGAUGAAAAGAUGUCUUUGCAGUUAAAAGCACUGGUGGUUUUUCCAGAGGAUUGUGUUCAAUUCCCAGACUCUACAUGGUGGCUAUCAACUGUCUGUCAUUUCAGUCCCAGGAGUUCCAAUAAGCCUCUUCUGGCUUGCAAGGACACUUCACAGAUGUGGAGGACAGACGUACAUGCAGGCAAAGUACCCAUACAUGUAUAAUAAUGUUAAAAAACAAACCAGUUCCUUCUACCACUCACUACUUUGUAUUCCCAGUUGUUAAAGAAUCAGAUCUAGGAGCACAGCAGGGCUGGGAAAAGGAUCAAGGUAUCACCUGCCGCACAAGAAAGGUCCCUUAGUGGUUUACUUGGAAAGCCUUCAGGAAAUGGUAGCCUGUCCUGAGUUUUAACCGUCCAGAAGACAGAGGCUGUAAUACAGUGCAGCAUGAUUAUGAUUCCUGGUAGUAACCUCAGGACUUCAGGGUGGGGUCUUUCAAAUGGAAGGCAUGCAGGCAAAUGCUCUGGCACCUGUCCCACAUGUAUACUACAUGACAGUAGGAGGUUGGCCAUGGAUGGUUGUCAUACACACAGCACUUGUGUGGAGAUCCCAGUAGCAUAGGUAAGUAUUGCAGGACAGCAGUGUGGAGGAUUCGUGUGACACUCGACACCUUUCCUUGGGGGAAUGCCACUGCCCAGUGGCUUUUGAGAUCCCAGCUUCUCAGAGGUGAGAAGUGCCCACAAUAAACUGUUCCUGUCACAAAUGUGGUCAGGAGUGGGCUGGUGACAGUAGAGCAGACUCAGUCUUCAGCCUGGAUGCUGUGUAAGCACUGCCUGAACAGGCCUGAGACAACGUCCAUACACAGAGGCAGGCCUUGGUGCAUCCUGCUAAGGGGUUGAUUGAGCAGCCCCUAUAUUAAAAUUAUUCACUUGAUUACAAAUUUCUUUGCUUUUUGUCUUUCUUUGAUUUUCUUUUCUUUACCAACUUAAGAGUAGAGUUAGUUUUUUAACCCAAAAGAAAGUGCCCAGGAGGUAUGUAUUUCCAUGAAGAACUCUUCAUUUGUUUCCACUUCCCCUGAGGAAGGUGUGCAGAGAGAACUUAAUGAUUUGGUAGGAAAGUUAGCUAUGAGUCCUUUGCUUGCUGCUGCCAUCCCGGCAUAGUGAUGAAAGGAGUUCCAUGUUGGUCAGUUUUUGUACUACUACAUAGCUAGCUCUUUUGCUGGAUUUUUUUUUUUAAUUUUGGUGCAUUUUUUUUAAAGAUUUAUUUAUUUAUUAUGUAUACAGCAUAUAUGACUGCAGGCCAGAAGAGGGCACCAGAUCUCAUUACAAGUGGUUGUGAGCCACCAUGUGGUUGCUGGGAAUUGAACUCAGGACCUCUGGAAGAACAGUCAGUGCUCUUAACCUCUGAGCCAUUUCUCCAGCCCUAUUUUGGUGCAUUUUUGUUAUUGUUUAUUUUGAGUUUUCAAGAUUCUGAAUUUGGGCCAUUGCGAUGUGCAUGAACACACAUGUCAAAGUAGAUGUGUGGAGGCCAGGACAAGUUGGAGGAGUGAAUUCCUUCCUGAAUAUCGACCUCAGGUUCUCAGAAUUGAUUGCAAGUAUCUUUUUCUUUUAACUUUUAUUGAUUCUUCUCAGAUUUCACAUCAUGUAUCUUGAUCCCACUGAUCUCCCCAUCCCCCAGCAUCUGCCUUUGCAACCUUCCCCACCAAACAAAAUAAAAUUUGAAAGAAAAAGCAAGAACUAAACAAAGGAAACAAAACAAAAACAGAAGACAAACAACCAAAACAAAACAAACAAAAAGAAAUCUCAUUAUGGACGCUGUAGUGUGGCCUGUUGAGCCACACAGUUUACCCUUAGUCCCUUCGUCUUCACCUGUAAGUGUUCCUUGCCAUGGGUCAUUGGUCUCUUUCGAGGCUUCUGGCUUCUGCUACACAUUUGAUAAUGGACUCUCGCUGGAGCUCCUCUUGGAUAUCCGGUUGUUAUUCUGUGUCAUGGGGAUCCUACAGUUUUGUAUCUGUUGGUUUGUCUCCAUCACCUGUUGCAACAGUUCAUUGAUGAGGUGGAUGUUGGGGUGAGCCAACAGAGCCCUGCUUCUGGGCUUGGGUGAUGGUAGCUUGGCUGGUCAGUCCACCAGCUUUCCCCAACUGUCACCACCUGGGUGAGCUCUCCAGCACAGCCUCAGUCAGCUCACCCAACGCAGCCUGCAGCAAGGAUUGAGGCCAGUUCUCUCGCUCCCAGGCCCUCGGGUCUGGCUUCUCCACACUCACACCACCAGCACCAGCUCCACUGUCUUACCCAGGCAAGGUGCAAGCCCCACCCCCCGUAUUGUUGUAAGGGGGAGCAUGGGGAGGGGAGUCAUCUCUCCUACUCUCAUGCCCUCAGGGAUGGCUCACCUGCAUUCCCCCACAACAGGGUUAGCUCUAGUGUGCUGCCCUGGCAGGGUGCAGGGUCCACUCUUCUGUAUGUUAAAGCUGGUGAGGAGGAGGGAUAGUUCUCCCACUCUUCAUGAUCCUGGGGCCAGAUCUAUUGCCUGAUUGCAGAUAGCAAGGGGUGGGAGAAGAAGGGCAUCUUUUCCUCACUGCAGACAGAGGUGGGCAUUCAGUUCUGCCCGUACCUUCUCACACCCUCAGGGACAGCUUACCUGUGUCUCUGACAACAGGGUCUGCUCUAGUGUGCUGCCCAGGUGAGAUGCACACCUAUGGUGAGAGGUGAGGGCAUCUUUCCUAUUGCAGAGGGUGGGGCAGCUCUCCUGCUGCAGUCAGUAUCCAGCAAGGGGGCAGGUCACUUAUCCCAGGGCCACUGAGGGGCAGGGCCAGCUCAGCAUGGCCCUCAGGUUUCAACAAACUUGGUUCCUGUGACCCCCACCAUGGUAACAGAGGCCAUGGACGUCAACACAGACCCCAGCCACAGCAGGAUCACAGACCCAGGCAUGGCCCAUGGCAGCAGCUGGGGCCUGGGCAUCACUAUGGCCCUGGUGGCGGCACAGGCUACCCAGAUCAGUAUGGCCCUCAGACACCAGCACAGUCUCAGGUAGCUGACCAGACCCUGGGCAUCUGCAGAGUCCUCAUCAGUAAAGGGGGUCAUGGACAUCAACUCAGACCCUGGGGUUGCAAGUGCCUUUACUCACUGAGCCUACUAGCUGGUUCCUCUCAUAGCACUCCUUUCUAAUCCACCUAUUUCAGUGUAUUGGUUGAAUAUACUGAAUGUAAAACUUUUGCAUCAAGCCAGCUCAGACAGUGUUUAAACCUGAGUUUGGAGGCCUUGAUUUUUUAAAUUUCAUCUUAGAUGGGGUAGAGAAUGUUAUAUUAAGAAGUCCUUUAACCCAGCCGGAGGAUCUGCCCCUCCCCCCGCCUUUGGAAGAAAUAUUUUUAUCCUUUUGUCUUACUUCUCCCUCUCUUCCUCUUUCUCUUUCUCUGUUUCCCUAAAAAAAUCAUCCACUGUUCCUUCAGAGUUCUUUCUACUUAGGUUAUACUCCUGUCAUGGUUUAUAUUUUCUCAGUCUCCUCAUGCACCUAUCUUUGAAUGCUUGGUCCCAAAUUAGUGGAACUAAUUGUAUAAAAUUGGGAGCUAUGCCCUUGUUGGGGUAAGUUAGUCUUGUUUAUUAAGGUAUGACACUGUAGGUUGCUGUGGGAUGUUCUGUAUGUCAAAUGUGUUGCUGAUUAGUCAAUAAUUAAAACACUGAUUGGCCAUUGGCUAGGCAGGAAGUGUAGGCGGGGCAAGGAGGAGAAUAAAGCUGGGAAGUGGAAGGCUGAGUCAGAGAGACACUGCCAGCCGCCACGAUGAGAAACAGCAUGUGAAGAUGCCGGUAAGCCACGAGCCAUGUGGCAAGGUAUAGAUUUAUAAAAAUGGAUUAAUUUAAGCUGAAAGAACAGUUAGCAAGAAGCCUGCCAUGGCCAUACAGUUUGAAACCAAUACAAGUCUCUGUGUUUACUUGGUCGGGUCUGACGGCUGUGGGACUGGCAGGUGAGAGAGAUUUGCCCUGACUGUGGGCCAGGCAGGAAAACUCUACCUACAGUAGGUGGGCCUUGAGGUUUCAAAAGACCAGUGAAUGGCAAGUGUUUCUUUCUGGGCACCUGCCUGUGUAUCAGGAUGUAACUCUCAGCCCCGUGCCUGCCUGUAGUAAUGUAUCCUUUCAAGAUGAUAAUGGAUUAACCCUCUCUCACUUUAAUCAAUCCUCAAAAGUGUUCCAUUACAGGAGUUGCCUUGGUCAUAGUGCUUCUUCAUAGCAAUAAAACAGUCCCUAAAAUAGGUUAUUUCAGUAAUAUUUUUGCAUAUUAUUUCUCUGAAUUUGGUCUGCUUCCUGUGUAGUUGAAUAAGAAUAGAUGAAAGAGUGAUGGACUUACAAAAUAGUCAGUCUCUGGCAUGAUUAUUACUGAUGGCUAAUGCAGAUCCAUAGAGAAAAGUAGCCACAAUAGGGGCAGAAAUUAACGAAACCUGUUUGUUUGGAAAGAAAAACAACAUUAGGUAGAUUUGGACUGCAGUCCUGUGCUGAAACAUAGUCAGUAAGUAUCAGGGAGAUUGGGGCCAUUAAGGAGAAGGUACCUGCUUUUCUUUGGAAAUGCAGAAGAGGUAUUGUAAGGGCCCUAUACCACCCAGCAAAGUGUUUAAAUAUGAAAGGAAAAGUCAAGGUGAUUCCUAGUCCCUGGAGGCUACUCCAUACAAAACUUUCUGCUGCUCUAUACUGGGGCCAAGUCCAUUCCAAGCUAGAACCCCAUUGGUGGUGUCAUCUGUGUGGUACUUUUUCUUAAAAGAAGAAAGAUGCAACAUUUAAAGGUCAUGAAGUCUUCCUCUAUGGUUCAGCUCUGUUGUAGCCAUCUGCUUGGCAGAGUCAUUGCUCCACUGGGGAGACUGUCAGACUGCACUGCGUAAAGCCAUGAAAAUGAAGCAUGGGUUGCAUUUUGAGGUCACAAUAUGUUGAGAUACCCAAGCUUUGAGAUAAUUGACAUGAAAAGCUGAAUGUCGGAAGUGGAAGUAGGCAACAAGAGAGAUGUAUGAAAAGUUUCAGUGAGAAAGAGUCAUCUACGCCCUUUGAAACUGAAGCUUCGGGUGUCUGACACAGAGUUGCAGGGUUGGGUGUUUGCCCUGCAGGUUUCAGGUUUGCCUUGGUCCAAACUUGGCUAAUUUCUGUGAAAUGGAAAUUUGUAUUCUGUACCAUUGUGUGUUGGGAGUAUAUAAUUUGUGUUAAUUUUACAAAAUAUUACAGUCAAGAGAUUGCCUUGAGUAUCAGAAGAAACUUUAGACAUUGAAACAGUGCUGGGACUGUUUUAUAAUAUGGAGAUUUUUGAAAUUAGAAUAAAUGCAUUUGCAUUAUGGGUUGACUGUGGUACUAUCAUGACCUGUGUCAAAAUGUGGGUUGAAUGAAAAAAAAUCUCCCAGAAAUGAUAAUGUAUUUGAGCAUUUGUCUCUGGUUUGUGGCCUUCACUGGGGUGCUAAUGGAACCCUUUGGAGGAGGAGCCUUUCUGGAGGAAGUUGGAACCUGGGAAAGGACGUUGAAUGUUUAUACCCUCAACAUACUUGUUUGUGUGUUUGAAACUGAUCAGUCCCUUCCCUUCUCAUAUAACCAUGUCAUCACCACUAUUAGAUACACCAUCCCUAAAUAAUGUAAGGUAAAAUAGAAACAAUUGCUUUUCCUUGGUAAUCCAUUUUUCUGGCCUGAUAUUUUGUGUUUAUAUUUUUGGCUGAUUGAAUUGGAUUUUUGUUCAUGUCAAGCAUUUGCUCUUGUGCUGAGACUUACCUUCAUCAUGUCUUCUGAACUUUGAUAGAGGGUAUUGUUAGUUAUUUUGCGGUGCUCUUACCCUGCGAGGAAAUGUCACGAAACACGACAGAAUCCGCUAAUAAGAGUUUUAUUAAGAUGAAAGGGACAGAGAGUGCCCAGGCCUGUGGAAGACACAUGUGUAGAGAAGAAGAAGAAGGAGCUGGGAAUAUGGUGCCGGCUUAUAAAGGCUGGGUGGCAUAGAUGCGUACACAGGUCAACGUAACUACUCCACGCAUGCGUGUAGAUCACAUGGCUACUUUGCGCGCUUACGGAACCAUGCAAAGUCACGGAUCCUGGUUAUGUGAGAUGCCUUGACCUGGAAAUGGCUAUUUUGACCUGGAACUGGCUAGGCAGAAGUGUCCAGGUCCGCCGGGCAUAUGCAAACAUGCCCAACCGUGAGGGUGUGUUGUGAACCCAUCAGGUAUCAUUUUUCAAACCAAGAUGGCAUGCAUUCAUGACAUUACUAUUGAUCUCUUAAAUCACUGGAUUGUAGGCAUGUCACAUUCUUCCUAUGUUUGUGUAUAUGUUUUUGAUUUAUUUUAAAUUUUUGUAAUACGUAUAUGAAUCUUUUGCCUAUAUAUAUGGAUAUACACCACUUCUGUGCCUGCUGUUUAUUGAAAUAAGUUGAGAGCAUUGGAUUCUCUUGAACUAGAGGUUUGAAUGGUUGUGAGUCUCCAAGUGAGUGCUGAUGAUUGAUCCAGGUCCUUUUCAAAAGCAACAGGUUUUCUUACCUGUUGGCCCAUCUUUAUAGACCUCAUUGUUGUUGUUGCUGUUGCUGCUGUUUUAUUGUUUUAGGAUCAGCAUUUACUUUACUGAUGCUUUUGAGAACUCUUUGAUCUGUCAGUCAGUAACUUCUUAAAAAUGCAUUCUUUUGUAGGAAUGUCAUAUUAGUCUUAGAGUUUAAAUGGAGUCACUCCAGUUUUUUGAUAGACAAAUACAGAAUGUUUACCUUUUUUGGAGGAAUUUUGAACAAGCCCCUGAGUGCUAUCUAUUUUUUGUUUGUUUUUGUAUUUGUGUGUUUGUUUGUUUGAGACAGGGUCUCACUAUGUAUACUUGGCUGUCCUGGAAAUCACAGAGGUUCACCUGUCUCUUCUCCUGAGAAGGUUUGCAGUACCAUACCCAUAUUGUCUAUUAUUUUCUGGAGUUAAUAAUUUUGAUACAAUCUUGUUUAUGUAUACUCAAUAGUGUUGCUCUGUUUGUAUGUCUCUCUGUAUAGGUUGAUAGGCAUUUCUCCUUCAAUGACAUAUUCUAUUCAAUUGGCAUAGAAAUGGAAGGUGUUAUCCUACAUUUAUGUUUCCUUGUAAAAUGAGUUGAUGACUGUAUUUGAAAUUCUGUGAUAUGGAAUUAAUAUAAUGACCAUGUAGAAUUAUGGAAAUAUAUUCUCAAUGAAGUGUACAUUUGCAAUUCAGUCAGUCUCACCAUUUCAAUUAUGAACAUAUAUGGGACA